rnacentral:rRNA from 1 species
UACAGAGGCCUCGAGCGUUAGGCGGAAUCACUGGGCUUAAAGCGUGUGUAGGCGGACUUCUAAGUGUCUUGUGAAAUCCCCCGGCUCAACCGGGGAAUUGCUGGGCAUACUGGCGGUCUUGAGCAGUCUAGGGGCAGAUGGAACAAGUGGUGGAGCGGUGAAAUGCGUAGAUAUCACUUGGAACGCCAAAGGUGAAGACAGUCUGCUGGGGACUUGCUGACGCUGAGACACGAAAGCCAGGGGAGCGAACGGG